rnacentral:rRNA from 1 species
CGCCUGGGGAGUACGGCCGCAAGGUUAAAACUCAAAUGAAUUGACGGGGGCCCGCACAAGCGGUGGAGCAUGUGGUUUAAUUCGACGCAACGCGAAGAACCUUACCUGGCCUUGACAUGCAGAGAACUUUCCAGAGAUGGAUUGGUGCCUUCGGGAACUCUGACACAGGUGCUGCAUGGCCGUCGUCAGCUCGUGCCGUGAGAUGUUGGGUUAAGUCCCGUAACGAGCGCAACCCCUAUCCCUAGUUGCUAGCAGUUCGGCUGAGAACUCUAGGGAGACUGCCGGUGACAAACCGGAGGAAGGUGGGGAUGACGUCAGGUCAUCAUGGCCCUUACGGCCAGGGCUACACACGUGCUACAAUGGUGCGCACAGAGGGCUGCAAACCCGCGAGGGGGAGCCAAUCUCACAAAACGCAUCGUAGUCCGGAUCGCAGUCUGCAACUCGACUGCGUGAAGUCGGAAUCGCUAGUAAUCGUGAAUCAGAAUGUCACGGUGAAUACGUUCCCGGGCCUUGUACACACCGCCCGUCACACCAUGGGAGUGGAUUGCACCAGAAGUGGUUAGUCUAACCUUCGGGAGGACGAUCACCACGGUGUGGUUCAUGACUGGGGUGAAGUCGUAACAAGGUAACCGUA